UACAGAGGUCUCAAGCGUUGUUCGGAUUCAUUGGGCGUAAAGGGUGCGUAGGUGGCGCCGUAAGUCAGGUGUGAAAUUUCGGAGCUUAACUCCGAAACUGCAUUUGAUACUGCGGUGCUUGAGGACUGGAGAGGAGACUGGAAUUUACGGUGUAGCAGUGAAAUGCGUAGAGAUCGUAAGGAAGACCAGUGGCGAAGGCGGGUCUCUGGACAGUUCCUGACAGCUGAGGCACGGAAGGCCAGGGGAGCAAAACGGG
rnacentral:rRNA from 1 species